CGCAAAGUGUCCUUUGUCGUGCAGUGGUGUGAACGUAACAUCUCCAUAACCACGGUAGAAUUCCCCCUGUUAGUGGAUAAAUGGGAGCAGUGGAACGGGCUAUUUCGGAUGAUUCGCUUUAACCUUUUCCUGCUUGACCGUAGCAUCGAGACCUUGAACUAGACCUACUUAGGCGAAUGGAAGUGGUUAAAGCCCCUGGGGGUGGCCUCUCAGCUUACGUUUCUCGACACUCAGAUACGUGCCGUACUCUCUCGUUGCAUGUGUGUGCAGUCGAGGGUGGACUUGAGGAAAGACUGCAGUUAGGUGAACUCCUGGUGCUCUACAUUAAUUAUUAUGAUUAAUAAUUAUGAAUAUCUGAGAAGUCCGUCUGUUUCCGAAUUUUCGGUAAGCAUUCGGGAUUUUGAGAAAAUUAAUAAUAAUCGGUGGAGUUUAUUCAACGAGAUUUUUUACUUGAUCAUUCACUGGAGUAAUAAAUUAUUAUAUAUAAUUUAUCACUCGUAUUUAUUAUUUAUUAAGUAAUAAUUAUUAUGGGAAUCUAGUCGGAAUUGCCUGGAAAUUAUUCGAUUGGAUAAAUAAUUGAUAAAUAUAUAUUUCUAUGAAGUGAAUGGAUCUUUUCCUAAAAUCUCACGUGAAUAUAAUUUAGUUUUAGCGAAACCUAUAAUUAAAUUAGAACCUAUAAUUAAAAUGGUUUGUUUCGAUUUGGAAAAUCUUAAA